GACGAACGCUGGCGGCGUGCUUAACACAUGCAAGUCGAACGGAAAGGCCCUGCUUUUGUGGGGUGCUCGAGUGGCGAACGGGUGAGUAACACGUGAGUAACCUGCCCUUGACUUUGGGAUAACUUCAGGAAACUGGGGCUAAUACCGGAUAGGAGCUCCUGCCGCAUGGUGGGGGUUGGAAAGUUUCGGCGGUUGGGGAUGGACUCGCGGCUUAUCAGCUUGUUGGUGGGGUAGUGGCUUACCAAGGCUUUGACGGGUAGCCGGCCUGAGAGGGUGACCGGCCACAUUGGGACUGAGAUACGGCCCAGACUCCUACGGGAGGCAGCAGUGGGGAAUAUUGCACAAUGGGCGGAAGCCUGAUGCAGCAACGCCGCGUGCGGGAUGACGGCCUUCGGGUUGUAAACCGCUUUCGCCUGCGACGAAGCGUGAGUGACGGUAAUGGGUAAAGAAGCACCGGCUAACUACGUG
rnacentral:rRNA from 1 species